rnacentral:lncRNA from 1 species
GAAUCCAAGGGUAAAGCAUCUGGGAAGCUGUUUGACGGUGAAGAUAAGGAAUCUGAUUCUGAGGAUGACAGUGACAGGUUCAAAAUUAAACCUGUUUGAGGGCAGAGCCGGACAAAAGCUCAUGGAUUUACAGUUGCACUUUGGCAGUGAUGACAGAUUCCAAAUGGACUCUAGAUUUCUAGAGAGUGACAGUGAAGAGGAACAGGAAGAGGUCAAUGAAAAGAAAACGGCUGAGGAAGAAGAGCUUGCUACAGAAAAAAAGAAAGCUUUGAAUGUUGUGCAAAGUGUUUUGAACAUCAACUUAAACAACACUACAAGCAAAGGGCCAGUAGCUGCUAAGAAAUUUAAGGAUAUCAUACAUUAUCCAACGAGUCAUGACCACAUCACUUAUGAAAGAACAAAAGAUGAUAAACCAAAAGAAAGCAAAGCAAAAUGGAAGAAAAGGGAGGAAGCUGAGAAGCUACCUGAAGUGUCUAAAGAUAUGUAUUAUAACAUUGCUACAGACUUGAAAGAAAUAUUCCAAGAUACAAAAGAUACCACUGAGAAAGAAAAAGACAAACCUAGACACAAGGGAUGUGGCAGAGAGAAGAAUGAAGAAGUCCACAGUGUCGUAGCCCUGAUGAGUGGGGCUGAGCAACCCAGCGAGUUUAUGUUCUCUUUUUUUGAUUCAGACUCUAAAAAUGUAAAAGAAGAAACCUAUAAAGUUGAAACAGUGCAACCUGGGAAAAUGGUCUGGCAAGAAGAUCCUCAUUUUCAAGACAGCACUUCAGAAGAGGAAGAUGUUACUGAAGAAAAAGAUCACAAAAAGCCCAGCCCUGAAGAAGCAUCAUUUCCCGAAAAAGAGACCACUAGAUUUUUCUUUUUCUCUAAUAAUGAUGAAAGACUUCAUGGUUCUGACUUAUUCUGGAGAGGUGUGGGAAGUAAUAUUAGCAAGAAUUCUUGGGAGGCACGAACAAACAGCUUGCUUAUGGAUUGUCGGAAGAAACAUAAAGAAGCAAAAAAGGAAAGUUAAACCAAAAUAAUAAAUAUCAGCAUUGGUUUUGAAACUGUAUGGAAACAAGGCUUACCAGGAAAUUGACCUACAAAUAAUUUUAGCCAACAAAAAGGACAUUUCAGAGCAGAGAAUAUUCAAAAUCUGGCUGGUGGAAUACCAUUCUGGUCAUCUUUUUCUGUGGAAUUCCUUUGUAUUUUAUCCUAGGUAAUUUUUUUUUUUUAUUUAAAAUUUAUUGUAAUGGGAUCUGCGCAAAAGAAGGGGGUGGAGGGAGGGGAACAUGCAGGGGACACAGGAACACGAUAGCAUGGCCAGGGCCACGGCUUCUGUUAUGGGGAAAAGGGUGAAAAGAGACCAGGGCUGGAGCUGGGAGGGAAGUCAAGAGGGAAGUCUUUCCCCCCGCCCCAGGAAGCACCUCUAUCCCCGCCCCACUAGAGUAGCCCGACCCUAAGAUGCCAUCUCUCAUUCUGUGUCUGGCCCUAGUGGCUCCUCUUCAACCCUUUGACAACCCCCCCCCCACACCACACAGAUUCUUAAGCAGGAUGAUGUUGAGGGCCCAACCCCAACCACCCCAUCUGCUGGAGAUCUAACCUCUACCUUCCCUGCUUCUGUUCCUUCUCACCGUUCUCCCUUUAGGACAGAAUCUUUGAUUCCCCUCCUUCUCCUCCCUCCCCCUGGGGAAAAAAAACAACACACCAACUCCCCAGGGAGAGGCAGCAGGCAGUGGGGGGAGGACGGGAAGGAGGGGAGCACGGGCCACGGGAGGAGAGGCUCACAAACCCCUGGGGGGCAGGGGGCCGAGGGAGGAAGGGAUAGGGCAGUGGCUGCUCCUGUCCUGACUCCCCUGCCCCCGUCCGUGGGACUUCAACACAGCUGAGGGACAGGUGUGUGCAGGGUCAGCUGAUAGGAGAGAGGAGCAGGAGAAAGAAAUCCUUAAAACCUAGUGAAUUCCCCUAAGAACCAUUUCUCUCUCUCUGGAGGCUCCUUGGUUGGAAGGGACUAGUGAGGAGUUGGUGGGACCAGAGAGGGGGAGAAGAGCCUGUACCAGGGGGCUUUCCCCCACUUUCCCGUCUCCCCCCACCAACUUGGAGCUCACAAGGGCUGGGAGGGAAGUGGCUGAGAGCUCACUGGCAUCCCCUGGGCCCCAGAGUGAGCCCAGAGCUGUGGGAGGGGCCGCCGACGCCAUCAGACACACCUCACCAGUACCUGGUGGGUGCGGAUCCCCCUCAGCAGCUGGGCUGUGGCUGGGGAGCGUCUCCUGGGACGGGGGGUUCGCCCCCCCCCCCCCAGGUGGGUCUGCAUGUGGCCGGCGAGCCAGCGUCUUGCAGUGCACGCUGCACAGCUUGCACAGGAUGCACAGGAUGCGGUCAGCCCGCGGGGCCUGGAGCCAGUGGUCCUUCACCGCGUGGAUGCGCAGGUAUGCUGUCGUGGUGAAGCCUUUGUUGCAGAGUUCACAGACAUGGUGAGGGCCCUGGCUGUGCACCUUCAUGUGGUCCGAAAUAUAAGCCGAGCUCAGCAUCUUGCCACACACGUGACAUGGCACCUUCUCUUCGUGUCGUACUGUGUGCGCUCGCAGCCGAUCCUCCGUAGCAAAAGCUGCCUCACAUUUCUCACAUUUGAAGGGCCGCUCUGUUGAGUGCACUUGUCUGAUGUGACUGUUGAGGUGGUUUGGCCGGGAGAAGCUCUAGCCACAGGGGGAGCAGUUGUAGGGCUUGUGCACACCGCCCCAUGUGAGCGCACGUGGUAGCUCGUGCGGUCCUUGCGCUUGAAGCGCUGUUGGCACACCGGGCACUGGUAGGGCUUCUCGUCCGAGUGCGACAGCUUGUUCCGGUUCUGGUGGUAGACAUCACGGAAGGCCUUGCUGCACAUCUCGCAGGCGUGGUUCUUCCCGGUUGCGUUUCCCCAAGGCGAUCGUGGUCACUACGCCGCCGGGAGCCACCGUAGCCG